GCAUCGAUUGGACCGCGGCGAGCGUUCAGUGCCCUGCUGCGGCGCGCCCAACAGGCCCGCGCCGUUCGAGACGACGUCGAACUGCC
rnacentral:tRNA from 1 species